rnacentral:rRNA from 1 species
AUUCCAGCUCCAAUAGCGUAUAUUAAAGUUGUUGCGGUAAAAAAGCUCGUAGUUGGAUUUCUGUCGAGAACAGCCGAUCACGAUUUUGUCGUUGUAUCUGGUUUGGUCUUGGCACCCUCUUGGGGAACAUUUCUGCGCUUCACUGCGUGGAGUGGUAUUCAAGACUUUUACUUUGAGGAAAUUAGAGUGUUCACGGCAGGCAAUCGCCCUGAAUAUAUUAGCAUGGAAUAAUGAUAUAGGACCUUGGUUCUAUUUUGUUGGUUUCUAGAACUAAGGUAAUGAUUAAUAGGGACAAUUGGGGGCAUUCGUAUUAACGCGUCAGAGGUGGAAUUCUUAGAUUGCGUUACGACGAACUACUGCGAAAGCAUUUGCCAGGGAUGUUUUCAUUA